rnacentral:tRNA from 1 species
UAUUUGAUGGUGUAUGUUGCACAUAAAUUUUUGAUAUUUAAAGUUUUAGUUAAAUUCUAAAUUAAAUAA